rnacentral:rRNA from 1 species
UACGUAGGGGGCAAGCGUUGUCCGGAAUCAUUGGGCGUAAAGCGCGUGUAGGCGGCCCGAUAAGUCCGCUGUGAAAGUCGGGGGCUCAACCCUCGGAUGCCGGUGGAUACUGUCGGGCUUGAGUACGGAAGAGGCGAGUGGAAUUCCUGGUGUAGCGGUGAAAUGCGCAGAUAUCAGGAGGAACACCAAUUGCGAAGGCAGCUCGCUGGGACGUUACUGACGCUGAGACGCGAAAGCGUGGGGAGCAAACAGG